rnacentral:rRNA from 1 species
ACCCGCUGAACUUAACAUAUCAAUAAGCGGAGGAAAAGAAACCAACAGGGAUUGCCUCAGUAACGGCGAGUGAAGCGGCAACAGCUCAAAUUUGAAAUCUGGCCUCACGGUCCGAGUUGUAAUUUGUAGAGGAUGUUUCGGGUACCGCCGCGGUGUAAAUUUCUUGGAACAGAAUGUCAGAGAGGGUGAGAAUCCCGUCUUCGACCGCGGUAGGGCCCAUGUGAAACUCCUUCGACGAGUCGAGUUGUUUGGGAAUGCAGCUCAAAAUGGGUGGUAAAUUUCAUCUAAAGCUAAAUAUUGGCCAGAGACCGAUAGCGCACAAGUAGAGUGAUCGAAAGAUGAAAAGCACUUUGAAAAGAGAGUUAGACAGUAUGUGAAAUUGUUGAAAGGGAAGCGCUGGCAACCAGACUCGAGCGCGGUGGUUCCCCCGGGCUUCUGCCCGGGUUAUUCCACCGUGACCGGGCCAUCAUCAGUUUUGGGGGUCGGUCAAAGGCGCCGGGAAUGUACCCACUCCUUCGGGGGUGGACUUAUAGCCCGGCGUGUCAUGCGACCUCCCGGGACUGAGGAACGCGCUUCGGCGAGGAUGAUGGCGUAAUGGUUGU